CUGGUUAAAGGGCAAACUAGCUGAAAGGCUAGGACGCAAAGUCAAACAGACCUAAAGAACGAAAGUUCUAUGGUGGCUGGAUUACCAAG
rnacentral:ncRNA from 1 species